rnacentral:rRNA from 1 species
CGAUCUCAAAUCAAGUAAGACUACCCGCUGAACU